UUAUGGAAAGUAAGAAACGUUUGAGUGUUUAAGGGGUUGGCUUUCACUGAAAGAGAGUGUCUGAAGCUGGGGCUGCUUGAACUGAAAUACUACUUUGGUCUGGACAAGGAAGAGAUCAGAGAUGGAGAAAGCACUGGACAUGCUUGUUUCACUGAACCAAAAGAGAAGACUGAUGAGAGAGGCGGAGAGUUUCAGAUGGCUAUUCAGAAGCAGUCUGUGAUUUGGGAUCAAGAGAGCAUCAGUGGCUGUGCUAAUGACUGCAACCUACACUUGGAACAAUCCCAUAGACAUUACCCUUCAUGGAAGCCUGUGCUCUGUUACAAGUUAAAACAGCUCUGAUUUUUUUCCAGCCAGGCACUUUAAAGAACAGAGUCCUCAUUGUGGUGACUUCAUCAGCUUUCUACAGUGAAAUCAAAUCUGUAGAUUUUUUUUCUUCUAGAGUGCACUUGUAGCAUUUCCCUGGAAAAAAUACAGACAAAUUACCUAA